AGCGAACGCUGGCGGCAGGCUUAACACAUGCAAGUCGAACGGAUCCUUCGGGAUUAGUGGCGGACGGGUGAGUAACACGUGGGAACGUGCCUUUUGGUUCGGAACAACACAGGGAAACUUGUGCUAAUACCGGGAUGUGCCCUUCGGGGAAAGAUUUAUCGCCAUUAGAGCGGCCCGCGUCUGAUUAGCUAGUUGGUGAGGUAAAGGCUCACCAAGGCUACGAUCAGUAGCUGGUCNGAGAGGAUGAUCAGCCACACUGGGACUGAGACACGGCCCAGACACCUACGGGAGGCAGCAGGUGGGGAAUCUUGCGCAAGUGGGGGAAACCCUGACGCAGCCAUGCCGCGUGAAUGAUGAA
rnacentral:rRNA from 1 species